rnacentral:rRNA from 1 species
GACAGAGGAUGCAAGCGUUAUCCGGAAUGAUUGGGCGUAAAGCGUCUGUAGGUGGCUUUUUAAGUCUGCCGUCAAAUCCCAGGGCUUAACCCUGGACAGGCGGUGGAAACUACCAAGCUGGAGUACGGUAGGGGCAGAGGGAAUUUCCGGUGGAGCGGUGAAAUGCGUAGAGAUGGAAAGACACCAACGGCGAAAGCACUCUGCUGGGCCGACACUGACACUGAGAGACGAAAGCUAGGGGAGCGAAUGGG